rnacentral:snoRNA from 1 species
CUACAUGAUGACAAAGGGCCAUAGUGCCUGAUAUAAUCCCAGCUCGUUGAAUGCCUCACCAAUUAACGCUAGAGCGCAUACUGAGAUAAAUUUUCGUCUGAUACA